GCCAUAUUUGGCACUCGUUUAUCGGCAUUACUGGGCUUAAAGGGCGAGUAGGCGGUGGAACAAGUCUGAGGUGGAAUCCUAUGGCUUAACCAUAGAACUGCCUUAGAAACUGUUUUACUUGAGUCAGUGAGGGGAGGGCGGAAUUCCUGGUGUAGCGGUGAAAUGCGUAGAUAUCAGGAGGAAGGCCUGUGGCGAAAGCGGCCCUCUGGCACUGUACUGACGCUGAGGCGCGAAAGCGUGGGGAGCAAACAGGAUGAGAUAACCCUGUAGUCC
rnacentral:rRNA from 1 species